GGUGGGGUGCUUGGAGUGGUUAAUCAGCCAGGUCUCGAAAACCUUGGGUCCCGCAAGGGACACGCGAGUUCGAAUCUCGCCCCCACCG
rnacentral:tRNA from 1 species